GACGAACGCUGGCGGCGUGCCUAAUACAUGCAAGUCGAACGCAGUGGGGACGGGUGAGUAACACGUGGGUAACCUCCCAUCAGAGGGGAUAACACUUGGAAACAGGUGCUAAACCGAUACUGAUGGAUGGACCCGCGGUGCAUUCGCUAUUUGGUGAGGUAACGGCUCACCAAGGCCACGAUGCAUAGCCGAACGGAGAGGGUUGUCUGCCACACUGGGACUGAGACCCGGACCAGACUACGACGGGAGGCAGCAGGAGGGAAUCUUCGGCAAGGGACGAAAGUCUGACCGAGAAACGCCGCGUGAGUGAAGAAGGUUUUCGGAUCGUAAAACUCUGUAGUUAGAGAAGCGGUAUCUAACCAGAAAGCCACGGCUAACUACGUGCCAGCAGCCGCGGUAAUUC
rnacentral:rRNA from 1 species